GACGAACGCUGGCGGCGUGCCUAAUACAUGCAAGUCGAACGCAGUGGGGACGGGUGAGUAACACGUGGGUAACCUCCCAUCAGAGGGGAGAACACUUGGAAACAGGUGCUAAACCGAUACUGAUGGAUGGACCCGCGGUGCAUUAGCUAGUUGGUGAGGUAACGGCUCACCAAGGCCACGAGGCAUAGCCGACCUGCGAGGGUGAUCGGCCACACUGGGACUGAGACACGGCCCAGACUCCUACGGGAGGCAGCAGUGGGGAAUCUUCGGCAAUGGACGAAAGUCUGACCGAGCAACGCCGCGUGAGUGAAGAAGGCUUUCGGAUCGUAAAGCUCUGUUGUUAGAGAGGCGGUAUCUAACCAGGAAGCCACGGCUAACUACGUGCCAGCAGCCGCGGUAAUUC
rnacentral:rRNA from 1 species